rnacentral:rRNA from 1 species
GUUGAUAGGUCGAAGGUGUAAGUGCAGCAAUGUAUUUAGCUUAUCGAUACUAAUAGGUCGAGGACUUGACCAA